GAUGAACGCUGGCGGCGUGCCUAAUACAUGCAAGUCGAGCGAACGGACGAUAAGCUUGCUUCUCUGAUGUUAGCGGCGGACGGGUGAGUAACACGUGGAUAACCUACCUAUAAGACUGGGAUAACUUCGGGAAACCGUAGCUAAUACCGGAUAAUAGUUUGAACCGCAUUGUUCAAAAGUUAAAGACGGUCUUGCUGUCGCUUAUAGAUGGAUCCGCGCUGCAUUGUCUAGUUGGUAAGGUAACGGCUUACCAAGGCAACCAUGCAUAGCCGACCUGAGAGGGUGCUCGGCCACACUGGAACUGAGACACGGUCCAGACUCCUGCGGGAGGCAGCCGUCGGGAACCUUCCGCACUGGGCCAAAGCCUCCCGGCGCCACGCCGCGUGAGUGAUGACGGUCUUCGGAUCGUCCAACUCUGUUAUUAGGGAAGAACAUAUGUGUCAGUCACUGCGCACAUCUUGACGGUACCUAAUCAGACAGCCCCGGCUCACUACGUG
rnacentral:rRNA from 1 species